UACGGAGGGGGCGAGCGUUAUUCGGAAUUAUUGGGCGUAAAGGGUGCGUAGGCGGGUCUUUAAGUCAGGGGUGAAAUCCUGGAGCUCAACUCCAGAACUGCCUUUGAUACUGAGGAUCUUGAGUUCGGGAGAGGUGAGUGGAACUGCGAGUGUAGAGGUGAAAUUCGUAGAUAUUCGCAAGAACACCAGUGGCGAAGGCGGCUCACUGGCCCGAUACUGACGCUGAGGAGCGAAAGCGUGGGGAGCGAACAGG
rnacentral:rRNA from 1 species